CUAGACUGUAGCAGCUGGUAGCACAGAGCUAGCGGCAGAAAUGACGUAAAAUUGAUAAAUUACGGACAUCGAGUGGAUAAAUCUUGGAUGUAAGCGUUUGGAUUUAUUGCUGAACAACUCCAAAAAGAGGCACAAGUUCCAGGCUGGAUAGAAAACCUUCUGGAAAGGCUACGAAGACAACAAAGACACCCACAUGACGGCUAGCUUCUUAGCUUCUAGCUGGAAAAAACGAUGCGCCCACAGAAAAGGAAAAGACAGUGAAGCAGUACGUAUCUUCAACACUCAGAGACAAAGUGUAGCAGGCGCUACGAACCGGAGCAAGGACUAACCUCGCCUCAUAACUAGGCCGUGACAUAUAUUUG